AGACAAUUAUGUGAAGCUUGAGAAAGAAAAGGUUUUAAUUUGACACAAGGAAAUGCUUUAAAAUUAGUAUUUUCCUGAUGGUGUAAAUUGAGGGGAUAGAAUCCACUAAUAGAUCUCUCACUAAUGAAAAAUACUUUUUAUCUAGAUUCCAAGCUUUAUUUUGUCACUUUAUUUUGUCACUGCUUUGACAGUCUGUGAUGUCUAUAAGUGCUUUUCUGAUAUUCUCAUGUAUUGAAUGAACCUGACGUUCAUUAACUAGCUUUUGGCUUUUGAGUUUGCUUCCAGCUUAAUUAAUGUAUUUAGGCAGUUAGCAGCUACAUUUACAUGAAAAUGAGAGUAUAACCAGCAGAACAUCUACUGAUCUUUUCUUGUGUAUAUAUAGAAAUAUACUUGGAAUAAACACGGUCAGUACAAAGAUCCAAGCAAAAAUUUCUGUAUUUAGGGUAAAAUAAAGAGAACAAGUACAUAUAAAAUACAAAUAAUUGAACAAGUCACUUGAAGAAAUGUGGCAAUCAUGUAUGUUGUGAGAAUUUCCCUUUGAUUUGUUUUUGUGCCAUUUGGAUUAGACAUUUCAAUACUGUAAUGCUUUUCCAGCUUGUAGUUAAUUAGAUAUGGUUGGUUAGAAGAUACCAGAAAAGCACUUUGUUUAGUGUCACCAUGUUCUUAGAGCUAGCAUAGAGCCAAAACUUGCCAAAAGUCCUGGAAUCAGCCUGCAAGUGCUGAUAAACUUUCUCAGAAAGGGAUUGCGUGUCAGAUACAGCACAGAAUUACAAAAUUAAAUUUCUGUGCAGGGUGCACAGUGCAGCAAUAUGGGAAAGGGCUUGGAGCCUAUGCAUGAGGGUGACACACUGGUUUGUGUGGGUGUUUAUCACUGAAAGGGUUGUCAGAGCCUCUCACCAACAGGAGGAAAGAAAUAGAUCAGAGAGACCACACACAGACCAAGCUGGCAUGAGGAAUAGGUUCGAUUUUCAAGCCUUUCUCCACAUCUACUUUAGAUUAUUCAUACAUCCAGUUAAUCUGGUUUUUUUCUGCCUCAUAUUAGUGAAUAAUUUGCUUACAUGAGGAGCUAUUCGAUGUCUAAAAAUAAGCCAAGCUUGACGGCCCUAAACUAAAGGACAAUACUAUGGAAGCUUUUUCAGAAAAUGAGGUGUUGCAUAAAAUAAGGGAUUUUUUAAUGAAUUAUUCUUAAAAUUAGGAUCUGCAGGCUCAAGCAAUUUCACAUCACAGGCUUCACCUGCUAAGUAAACAAUUUUUAUAUCAAAAUAUGUACCUUAAAAGGCAUAAGACAUUUCUGGUUGUGUACCGAUGAAAUGCAUCUUUUGACAUAAAUAACUGGGAGAAGACAUUCUAUAAAUAAAAAUGGGCAAGGAAACAUUUCUGUUUUGCUGAGAUGUAAUAAAAUGAUAAUGAAAAAUUUAUUCAGAUUCAAAAAAAAUAUUUGGCCCAAACUGAUCCUGUUAAGUCAGGUGAAGGGGAAAAGAUUUAUUGUCCUCAGAAUAGAAGGAGUUAUUCACUUGCUGAUUUAUUUCAUUCCUCUCUGUGUCUUCCCUUUACCUGUAUUUUCUGAGGCUGAACGACACCAUGCUGACCAGUGAAAGCAAAAGGUUUGGCUGUGAUGGUUUUGCUGCCUUGCCUGAUUCCAGGAAUCUUUGCAGCACUGGACAGGUGGCCAUGAGGUGUCCCCUGCAGCCAGCCAGCCCUUAGGGUGUUUGAUGCAGCAGAGGGAGCUGCAGAAGUUCAGAAGGGACUAAACAGUCCAAGGCAGCAGGGAUUUUGGUGACUGGCCUUCCUAACUGUAGAGCACAACAUUUCUAAUGCAAAGAAGUCUCAUUUCCAGGGUAUGCCUAAAAGCAGCCAAGAUUUUGGGGUCUGUCUCUUCUCCAACAAGAGUAAUCACUCAUGAUACCACAUUCAUCUUAUGAGUUUUAUGACCACUCCCGGUCAUGUAACUUCAACUGUGGUGUAAAGCUGUGAAAGUCAUUUGUACAAAUUGAUCUCGGAACCACUCAGGCAAACUUUGUGUGACCUUCUGCCAACAUGACUCAUGUCUGUGCUGUGAGGGGGAAGCCCUCAGUGAAAGAGCAAACAGCGCCAGAUUUUAGCUUCUGUAUUGAGACUCUUGGGUGUUAAAAUUACAACAUUUUUGUAUCGUACAUCAGUGGUUCCUCUGCUCUGCCAUCACAUGACCAGAAGGUCAUAUGGAAAAAAAAAAUAAUAACCAAACUGUAAAAAGCUAUAAAAAUAAAGAUUUAGAGACUUGUAACAAAUACUUGAGCAAAGACAGACUGGAGAAAAUGUUUAGGGUUUUUUUAAUACAGGAGCAAAGAAAAUAAGAUUGGGCUCAUAUCUCCUACCUAUCUUUCAAUAGCAUUUGACACUUAAAUAUUGGUGUUGAUCAGAAUUUCCAUAACUGAUGGUAACAGGCAAGGUGAUUUAAUAACCCUAGGUGAGGAGAAAGUGCUAUGGCAUAAUGAGGAUUUUUAAAUAUGUAAAUAACUGUUAGAUUUAUUUUCCUGACACCUAUUAAGUGUUUUGCUAAAGUCAGACAAAUAUUUUUAUAACCAUUAAAAAACAUUUAAAAUUAAACUACUGAAUCCUCUCAUAAAAUCUUCUAAAACUCAGAUUAAACAAGUAGAAUUUCAUGAUCACAGACAUAUAGAUGUGAUUGAUGAGGUAAGAUGGUAGGUCACAGGAAGUGCAGAUCACUCAUUCAGGUUUUUCAUCUGGCAAAGCUAACAUCCUGGUCUAACAUACAGAGAAGUUUAAUGCCAGGUUUGCCCCUAGGAAGAGGUCCCAAGGUCUGGUACUGGGACAACAUUUCAGCUUGGAUAAUGAUCUAGAAUACCUUUAAAAUAGAGCUGUGAAUUUGUGUAUGAGUGCACAGAAGACACAGAUAAGUACACAUUUACUGGGUUUGAUGAAAAUAAUUUCAGCAAAAACCCUGUCUGCUAGCUGGACGAUAAAAUUUAGGUUUUUUGCUUUCCCCUGAGUAAGAAAGUAAUGCAAUUUUCCUGAAAACUGUUGUAUUAAAAUCUAAUGGGUUUAUGGUUAAGAAAACAGAAAAAGAGUCAGUUUCCUUAUGUCUUCAGUGAUUAACCUGUCCUUUGGGCCCCUGAAGACAUACUACCCGCUAAAUUCCUGAAGAUCUCAUGCUAGUAAAGUUUAGACCAUUACAUUAGGGAACACAGCAUGAGCUUACUUAAGCUAAUCAGGUCCUGAAAUGCCCAUGAACUUCCCAAAGGUACAAUGAGCACUGUUCGUCCUUAGGAUAUUGCAUGCAGCCUGCCAGCCACAUUUUCAUAAAGGUUAGGAAACAUCACUACUUGGUUGCUGUUGACUGAUUUGUGCUGAUGCUACCCUGUGGGCUCUCCUGGCAGACACCAUGCUCCUGCCCAUCUGCUCCCCUUCCCAGCCAGGUCUCCCCACCUGCCAUGGAUGGGCAGGAGGGUGGGGGAAAUGCCAGCCCCAGCUGGUUUGCAAAAAUACAGAGAGAUACUUUAAUCACUGAGCAACAACUUGCAGCAGGAGCUGCAACACAGAGAGAGAGAGUGUUAUCUCUGGUCCAUUUUUCUUGCAGUGGAUGGCAAGAACAGCAAGCCCGUUUGUGCUCAGUGACAUAUCCCCAGGGUAACUUGUCUUAACUGACUAUAUUGCUGUUAGUGGUCCCUAACUUUCUAGAAACAUUCAACAGAAAGUUUAGGGGUGGUAACAGAGGUGAAGGUGAGAUUGUACUUGCACAGCUCCUGUACAACAUAGCCUGCACUGUUUCCUGCUCUUUGAGACCAAAGAAAAUGCAGAAAGAAGAGCGUGACCAACAGAACUGAAUUGUUCAGAGCAUACUUGGAAGGAAUUACAAAGUGCACAGCCAUGUCACAGAUGCAGUCACAGGUGGAGUUUUUUGCUGAUAACAUCUCUAGAAGAUUACACUAUUUUCAGAAAUACUUAGGUACCGGAAUCUGUGAUUUGCAUCCUCAGAGGGCAGAAGGGGUUAACCACACUGGAAAGAUUACUUCAGUGUAAAACAUGAGCUCUACAGAACCUGACAGCUUCAUCUCUGUUCCUUGGCUUUAGGAACACUUCUGACUUAAUUUGAAUUUUUGGUUCACCUGACUAGCUUGAGCAGUUUUUCCUGAUGAUGAUGAUGAGGAUGAUGAUUGUUUUCCAAACCCAAACACAGCCUCAACCUUUUAUUCCUCAUCUCUUCCUCAUUAUAUUGGACCCAUUAAAAAGAACACUGCAUUAAAUAAUGUCGGAAUAAGAGAUGAGAUUUAGUCACCUGAGCACUCCUAUCAGCAAAUAACUUCAAGCAUGUUUUUAGUGCUCUACCAUUGCCAGUGUACCUAGGAGCAGUUAUGUCACUGUGUGAUUACAACACACUCUUGUGGGGAAAAAAAAAAAAA
rnacentral:lncRNA from 1 species